CCCACCCUGCUCACUUCUGAAGCCCCAAACCUCGCUGGGUGUGUGACCCACAGCGCUCCAGCUGCAGCCGGAGGGAUCGGGAAUCCGAGGACCUCCCGGGCUUCCUAGUGAGCUUGGGCGAGCCCUGCUGAGGUCACGUCCUGAAAGGAGGCCCACAGAGAUGAAGAAACUGUUCCAAGGUGUCUGAGCACGAAGGCAAAGAACGGUUGGAAAUAAAACCAUGUCCCCUCAGUC